CAUUUUGCCCUUCUGAUCACCAGACGCAUUUCACCUUCAAGGCAUUUCACACACUGCAACCCUGCAGGAAGAUCUUCCAUAUCAUGGAUUAAGAAUACACUCAUUCGCUCGCCCGAGCUUAUUUUACAGCCAAUUUCGAAACGUGCACCUGCACUCAUGUAUACGUCC